rnacentral:misc_RNA from 1 species
AAAAGUGGGAAAUUAGGCGAAAUCAAUAAAGGAAAAAAGAAAACCAAUGCAUAAGAAAUUCAGUCGACGAUAGAAAUUGCAGUCACAAUUGAAAUUGAAAGCCCGUAGUUCUUGCAGAAAAGGACACAAAAAAAAUCUCAAGCAAGAUAAUGUUGGUCUACAAAACAUAAAGUUCAUUUUAAAUUCAGUGUAGAGAGCAACUGCUGAAAAAAGUUCAAAUGAGUAAGCAGCAAAAGAAAAAAAAAAGCAUUUAGAAAAAGCUAUAAAUA